rnacentral:lncRNA from 1 species
CAAUUGGUUUGGCCAAGGAAGUAGAAUCAUUGUUACGUCAAGGGAUAAACAUUUACUAACUUCUCAUACCAUAAAUUGUGUGUAUGAAGUUAAAACUUUACAAGAUGACAAAGCACGAGACCUAUGACGACCCAGACCCGAGGCAGUACGGAGGGACGGACUAAGAUCACCUCGGCAGUACGUGGGCAAGGCUAAGAGCAUUUCUCCUGUCCCACAUCGCUUAGGGGGAGAGUCCUAGGCUAGUUUAUAAUGGCUUGGGCCUCUCUAAUCUGUGUAACGUGUUUCACGUACGCUUCCGCUGCGCUGAAAACAAAGCCGUGAGGGAGGACGGGCCGGUGGGCCAUGCCUCCAAAGUAGACAAUAUUAUGGCUUGGGAGAGGGAAGGCUUGAGGGAUGGCCCUAUGUCCCUGCGUAAUGCGUUUUAAGUCCGUGAGGACUCAGUGUCCAAAGCAAACAAUAUUACAUAAUGGGGCUCGGGUCAUUACAAAUGGUAUUGAAGCAGACUCCUGACCACGUGUGGGGCCACAGCGAGGGCACUGUGCCUUAAGAGGGGGAGAAUGUGAUGACCCAAACCCGGGGCAGUACAGAGGGACGGACUAAGAUCGCCUCAGCAGUACGCGGGCAAGGCUAAGGGCAUUUCUCUUGUCCCACAUCACUUAGGGUGAGAGUCCUGGGCUAAUUUAUAAUAACUUGGGCCCCUCUAAUCUGUGUAAUGCAUUUCACGUAUGCUUCCACUACGCUAAAAACAAAGCCGUGAGGGAGGAUGGGCCGGUGGGCCGUGCCUCCAAAGCGGACAAUAUUAUGGCUUGGGAGAGGGAAGGCCCGAGGGAUGGCUCUCUGCCUUUGCGGAACGCGUUUUAAAGCCGUGAGGACUCAGUGUCCAAAGCGGACAAUAUUACACAGUAGGGCUUGGGUCAUUACAAGACCUUUUUGGUCAAUGUCCAAAGCGGACAAUAUUACAUAGUAGGGCCCGGGUCAUUACAAGACCUUUUUGGUCAGCACGCCUUUACAAAUAGCAAUGAAGUAGAAAUAAGAAGGGAUCUCAUAGAUGGAGCACUGCAUUAUGCCAACGGCCUUCCGUUAGCCCUGGAAGUGUUGGGCUCAUUCUUAUGUGGAAGAAAGGAACCUGCAUGGGAAAGUGCAUUGCAUAAACUCUCCAAAAUUCCUGAACCAACUAUCAAUCAAGUUCUCAAGAUAAGCUUCGAUGGAUUAGACGACAAUGAGAGGGAGAUUUUCCUCGAUAUUGCUUGUUUCUUUAAGGGAAAGAGAAUAGAAUACAUCCAGGAAGUUCUUGACAGCUGUG